UACGUAGGGUGCAAGCGUUGUCCGGAAUUAUUGGGCGUAAAGAGCUCGUAGGCGGUUUGUCACGUCGGAUGUGAAACCCUGAGGCUCAACCUCAGGCCUGCAUUCGAUACGGGCAGACUAGAAUUCGGCAGGGGAGACUGGAAUUCCUGGUGUAGCGGUGAAAUGCGCAGAUAUCAGGAGGAACACCGGUGGCGAAGGCGGGUCUCUGAGCAGAUACUGACGCUGAGGUGCGAAAGCGUGGGGAGCAAACAGG
rnacentral:rRNA from 1 species